CGGCAAGCCACGGCAGACACAGCUGGGCCUUGGAGGAUUACUGUGGUGUGUGUGUGUGUACGCGAGACUGCAGCCUCACUUUUCUGGACUAGGCUGAACAAUCUGAUGUAUCACUACUACCAUCAUUGAUAACUCUGUCCUCUGCUGGUCAGGCAGGACCACAUCCUGCAUUAAGGUGGCAAGACAAAAUUAACAAAAAUCAAACAAAGUCAGGAUUCACAAAGCUCCACAUCACUACAUAGCCAGCGAACCAUCCACAAGUGAGACGAGUGUUCCUUUCGCCUCCCUGAAGCAUCACAAAGCGGACGUUUAUUUCCUCGCGCCUCGAUUACCACUACACAAAAGUCUACACUACCCUAGACGAUUGGACGGCGCCGGUCAUCGAGGAGACGCGCGGCGAAGGCAAUAAAGUGUUUUCCGAUGAUGAAGUGUCGGCGUCAGAUGAGAGCCGAGUGGUGGCUUUGGUGGCAGCAGUGACCGAUGACGGCAUUAUACAGCGCUGGGGGAAAGGAGCGGCCGCGGCGUGGGAGUCGUGGAAACAAUAUAUCAGGUUUUGUGGUGUUAAUGGCUACCGGCCCCAGGUGAACGCCGACGGUCCAGGUAAAAACUCUAGCGUUUCUGUUCUUUGUUGUUGAGCCAGUGAUGUGGUGGUGUUUGUUCUUCAUUAAUAUGAAACUACGAUAAUUAUAAAUGUAAGUGAAAUAAAGUGGUGAAUAUUAGUUUUAGUUGUAGUUAUCAAAAGCGCUGUUUAUUACUUAUAUAACGCGAUUAUUUAUUCUGGGUUUUAUGAGCGUUAAUUUGAAGAGACGUGAUGUCAGAUGAUUCGUAUGUGAAAAGAGAGUUGAGUUGGGCAAAAGUAAUCUAUAUUAAUGAUUUUUCGUUAACUGAUUAGUUGUUUUGUUAAAUUGAUUCAUGUAGUGGUGAAGGCAAGCGAUUUGAAAAGGUCAGUGAUUUGAAUAAGGCUUGAAUUUUUCUCGAACGUUUUUUUGAGUGACCAUAACGAGUGCAACAUUUGUUGCUAAUAAUGAAGUCGCCUUUGUCGUUUGAAUUAGUUAGUUUAUUAGUUAUCUUGUUUACUUCUGAGUCAUUUACUUAUUAUUUCUUUUAACCUGGGUAGUUUUUUCACACUUGUUAAUUUUGGUUCGUCAAGGCGUGUCAAUGAUAUCUUGGUAAUGGUAGAAAAUGGCAAAAAAAUAAUAAAAUAAAAUUGGAAGGGAUCACUGAUAAAAAAAAAAAAAAUGGAUCAUAACGGCGCCUUUAAGCACACCCAUCCACCCAUCCACCCAUCCACACCCAUCAACCCAUCCACCAACAUGCAGACACACACACACGCACCCACGCCCCACCAACACCAGCCCCCACAAAAAAAAAGACUAAUGACAAAAUGUGCGAGUCUGAUACACCUGCUACCACCACCACCACCACCACCACCACCUGCCACCACCACCAUCAUCAUCCAUCAUUACCAAAACCACCACCACCAACAAUAUAUACGAAAAAUAUCCGCAUAUCCAAUGAAACAAUAUUUCCCACCACCCUUAAAACACACACACACACACACACACACACACAGGAGGCUGACCACUGUUUACAGAAACUAAAACGAAUAAAGCUCUCGUUCGUUCGUUUCCUGGUCCCAAAAGUGUGGAUAGAAAAGGUUCCAAUCAGCGUAGGUGCUGCGUGCCUGCGGGUCCUGUGUAGCGGGAGCGUGAAGAGCACUAGUACCUGUCUGUAU